AGGUGAGGUGCUUUGCUGUAUCCUCCGCAGUAUUCGGUAAGUGCUGUCUUAGGGGGUGUCUGUUCCACCUUGCCCAGCGUGUGUCCUUCAUCUAACUCUCCAGUUAGAGAGUUAAUUUUGUAUCUAGAAGGAAAGACAAGUGUGAAAUCAUUGCUGUAAGAACAGAAUUCUAUGAUUGUGAAUAGUUGUAAUGAAAUCAUGUCUUAAAUUACAUGUGAUAUGAACAAUUGUUCUUUUUCUGCUUUUUCCUGAACAGAACUUUUCUAUCUUUCUCAUAAACUGGUGGAUUUAUAUCCUAGUAAUCCUGUGUCUUGGUUUGCAGUGGGAUGUUACUAUCUCAUGGUCGGUCAUAAAAAUGAACAUGCCAGAAGAUAUCUCAGGUAUGAAUUUAUUUUCUUCCUCUCUAGUUAACCUAUAGAAUUGAUGUCUUGCUCAUAAGCUUUCAAGUAGUAAUUAGUGAGUACUUUAAAAGCAACGUGAAAGAAUAAAUGUUUUUCUUUUUUUCUUCCUUUCUUUUCUUUCUCUCUGUCUUUCUUUCCUUUUCUUUUCCUUCUCGCCUCCCCUCCCCUCUCUCUCGAGAGGUUCUCACUCUGUUGCCCAGACUAGAGUGCAGUGG
rnacentral:sRNA from 1 species